UACGAAGGGGGCUAGCGUUGCUCGGAAUCACUGGGCGUAAAGCGCACGUAGGCGGCUUUCUAAGUCAGGGGUGAAAUCCUGGAGCUCAGCUCCAGAACUGCCUUUGAUACUGGAGAGCUUGAGUCCGGAAGAGGUGAGUGGAACUCCGAGUGUAGAGGUGAAAUUCGUAGAUAUUCGGAAGAACACCAGUGGCGAAGGCGGCUCACUGGUCCGGUACUGACGCUGAGGUGCGAAAGCGUGGGGAGCAAACAGG
rnacentral:rRNA from 1 species